rnacentral:rRNA from 1 species
UACGGAGGGAGCAAGCGUUACUCGGAAUUAUUGGGCGUAAAGGGCGCGUAGGCGAUUUGAAAGGUCUUGUGUGAAAGCCCCGAGCUUAACUCGGGAAGUGCACAAGAAACUGUUGAAUUUGAGUUCCGGAGAGGAAGGCAGAAUUCCCGGUGUAGCGGUGAAAUGCGUAGAUAUCGGGAGGAAUACCAGUGGCGAAGGCGGCCUUCUGGACGGAUACUGACGCUGAGGCGCGAAAGCCAGGGGAGCAAACGGG